rnacentral:rRNA from 1 species
UACGGGGGGGGCAAGCGUGGUUCGGAAUUACUGGGCGUAAAGGGCUCGUAGGCGGCCAACUAAGUCAGACGUGAAAUCCCUCGGCUUAACCGGGGAACUGCGUCUGAUACUGGAUGGCUUGAAUCCGGGAGAGGGAUGCGGAAUUCCAGGUGUAGCGGUGAAAUGCGUAGAUAUCUGGAGGAACACCGGUGGCGAAGGCGGCAUCCUGGACCGGCAUUGACGCUGAGGAGCGAAAGCCAGGGGAGCAAACGGG